GGACGGGUGAGUAAUGUCUGGGAAACUGCCCGAUGAGGGGAUAACUACUGGAAACGGUAGCUAAUACCGCAUAACGUCGCAAGACCAAAGAGGGGGACCUUCGGGCCUCGCGCCAUCAGAUGAACCCAUAUGGGAUUAGCUAGUAGGUAAGGUAACGGCUUACCUAGGCGACGAUCCCUAGCUGGUCUGAGAGGAUGACCAGCCACACUGGAACUGAGACACGGUCCAG
rnacentral:rRNA from 1 species